rnacentral:misc_RNA from 1 species
AACUUAUUUCCAGCUAUAACGUACCAUUAGUUGCGGGCGCGCGCCGCGUUCAGUGUGGUGCCAUGGACAAACCGGAGUACACGUAUGACCCCGUGCCCGCAGCGGGGGUGCACGGUGUGAAGGGACAGGUGUGGAGGCAGUUCUUCAUUGCUGCUAUUGCUAACAUAGGCAUGGCCUGCGGAGGUUUCUCCAUGGGUUGGACGUCGCCAGUGACUCUCAAACUCACAGACGUCAAUAUGACAGACACGCCCUUACCCAGACCAAUUACUGUGGCUGAGGAGGCGUGGAUUGGCUCCGUUCUGUCUAUUGGAGCUAUCAUUGGUGCAAUCAUAGCUGGCCCGAUAGCCGCCCGGAUCGGUCGCAAAUGGGCCCUCAUCUGCGGCACUGUGCCCCUCCUGUCCGGCUGGGUGUUCGUGGCCGCAGCCCCUACUGUGUACUACAUAUACGUCGGCCGUAUACUCUGGGGCGCGGGUAUAGGAAUGAUGUUUACAGCUGUGCCUAUGUACAGUGCGGAAAUCGCUACGAACGAAUGGCGAGGCGCGUUAGGCUCGUACAUCCAAGCGUCCAUCACACUGGGCGUCCUAUCCAUGUACUGCAUCGGGCCUUAUGCGUCGUACCGGACUGUCGCGUACGUGGGACUGGCCACAUUAGUGGCCUUCGAUGUCAUCUUCUUCUUCAUGCCUGAGACACCAUUUUACCAUCUCACGAAAAAUGACCGUGAAUCGGCCGCCAAAUGUCUGAUGGUGCUUCGUGGUCAAACUCGCGCUGGCGUGGAGGCAGAGCUCGAAAUUAUGGCCAAUGACGUUGCUGCCUCCAUGUCUAAGACUGCCACGAUAUGGGAUGUAUUCAAAGGGACCAACUUCAAAGCGUUCUACAUCUCCAACGCGCUGAUCUUCUUCCAACAGUUCUGCGGCAUCAACGCAGUUCUGUUCUACAUGAACACCAUCUUUGAGGCCGCUGGCGCUAACCUGGACUCCUCUGUGGCUUCUAUCAUCGUUGGCGUUGUGCAGAUGGCAGCGUCCUGCGUGACGCCGUUUGUGGUGGACAGAUGGGGUCGAAAGGCGUUGCUCCUGUGGUCCACUUGUGGCGCUACUAUUGCCUUGGCGUGCCUCGGCCUAUUCUUCCUGCUGAAAGAACAGCACAGCCCAAUAGUGGGUUCCAUCGGGUUCCUUCCCAUCGCGUCCCUGAUGUUAUUCAUGUCAGCAUGCUGUACGGGUCUGGGGCCCGUGCCGUGGGCUGUCAUGUCAGAGGUGUUCCCGAUUGAAGUGAAGGCUGUAGCCGCGCCGAUUUGCACGGCUUUCUGCUGGAUUCUGGUCUUCAUUGUAACUGGAUACUUCGGCCCAGUCUCGGACGCGCUGGGCAUGUAUGUCGCGUUCUGGAUCUUCGGCGUAUGCUGCUUGGCGGCCUUCUUCUUCGUUCUAUUAUGUCUGCCGGAGACCAAGGGGAAGAGCUUCUCGGAGAUCCAGGAGAUACUGGCUGGGAACAAAUCACCUGGAAAGGCAUAAUCGCUAAAAGCAACACAUUCCUACAGCACGGACAUUAACUGACUGCAAGUUAUUGUACAAAUAUAAUUUAAGUACAUAAUAGCCAAGCUAAGUAUUGGACUGAACUAGUGAUAU